rnacentral:lncRNA from 1 species
CUGUUUUGGGAAAAAAAAGUUAAGUGAACUAGAUGCCUGUUAAUCUGGUUCUUUAAAUAUCAUAAACAAAAGUAUCAGAAUGUGUUUCCAAGGACAAAGGCGGAGUUUUCCCGGCUUUGAUUGGUCACUGCCUUGUCCUGUCCCACAGCCAUCCUUAAUUGGCUUUGGGUAGAUUGGAAUCACAUAAGCAGAGUGACAUUUAUUACUUUCCUAGUUUCUUUGCACUGAGCCCUGAGAUUUCCAAGGAGUCACUGUAAAAGAUUUCUUUCAUUUCACCCAUGAUCUAUGAGAGGGGUUCCUUCUACGAAGAGCAGGCAUGAGUCUGAGUGCGAGAAGAGUCACUCUGCCUACAAUAACGCCAAUAGUCCUACAGAAAAGGAAAGCCUUCAAGAUCAGAAGGCCAGAUGUCC